UAAUGUCUGGGAAACUGCCUGAUGGAGGGGGAUAACUACUGGAAACGGUAGCUAAUACCGCAUAAUGUCGCAAGACCAAAGUGGGGGACCUUCGGGCCUCAUGCCAUCAGAUGUGCCCAGAUGGGAUUAGCUAGUAGGUGGGGUAACGGCUCACCUAGGCGACGAUCCCUAGCUGGUCUGAGAGGAUGGCCAGCCACACUGGAACUGAGACACGGUCCAG
rnacentral:rRNA from 1 species